GGAGAGGUGUCUGAGUGGUUUAAAGUACUGGUCUUGAAAACCAGCGUAACGUUAAGUUACCGAGGGUUCAAAUCCCUCCUUCUCCG
rnacentral:tRNA from 2 species